GUUUCAGAUGCUAUCAAUCACACAGAAAAAAAAGCUACUGUUUGGCUGAAUGAUUGAUCCUAUUUAUCAAUGGAACAUGUAUUGCUGGUAAACAAUGUGUGCAGGAAGAAGGAUGUCUAGAACCCAGACUCUUUCUUAGACACCACCUAGUGCUACCACAUCUGGAGAUAAAAGCUAAUGGGAGAUUACAGUACUGCAGCAAAAGCAGGACAACCAGAAGAAAUCAAUCAUUUCACCAAUGAGUCUUGGGAUGAAGCAAAAUGGCAGAACAGAGAGCUCCAUGGAUCAUCCCCCAUGCAAGGACACCAAGUUAACAACUAUCUACAUAGAAAAAAAAACCUUAUGAGAAUAAAAAAUCAGGUGAGUG
rnacentral:lncRNA from 10 species